GGGUCUUUAGCUCAGCGGUAGAGCGGCAGACUUCGGUUUUCAAUCUGAAGUUCGUCCUUUCUGGGCGUGUAUUCUGCAGGUCGCGGGUUCAAUCCCCGUAGGACUCU
rnacentral:tRNA from 1 species